AGUAGGGUGGGCUGCGCGGCCAUCACCAGGGGCCAUCCACUGCCAUCCUCCUUCGCUGGGCCUCUCCCGCCGCAUCAACGCCCCGUGGGCAUCGCUCCCGGCGGCAGCGCUUCGGUGCGCUCCGAAGGCUGCGAAGGGCAGCGCGACCUUACCCCGCCCUCCUCUUCAGGCUGGGCCCGGCCCCAGCAGCAUCCUGGCAUAGAAGGUGAUCCCAGGGCAUGGGAUGUCUCGUGAUGGCCUCAGCUGUGGUCAGGGCUCCUGGGUGUUCCAGAGCUCACCCAUCUGAUGGAUAAACCCAGCAGUUAAUCUGGAAAAGGGUGAGAACUUGAUAGCCCUGUCCCAAGGGCUUCAGCUUGCUUCCCAUAGGACCUGAGUUGUGGGGAUGCUGCCGUGUGGAGCAUGUGAGUCGUCCCCUAGGGAACAGCCUGAGCAGAGGGUGAGCCAUCCUUGAGGGACUUGGUGCUGCAGUGUCAGACUGUUUUUUCCCAGCUCUCUCCUCCAGAAGUGGGAGCUCUGCAGAGCCAGAUCCUGGCUCCUUCCCAAGCUGUGAGCUCCACCGAGUGGGAUCAGCCCGAUUUCUGGGCUCCACUCCCCCGCCGUGGAGGGAGAUGAAAUUGGUUUGGCUUCAAGUGUUGCCCAGUCUCCCGAUCAGAUGCUCCACAUGGAAGAACAGUCUGUUCCAUGGAGUUUUCUCAGGUGGGGGUCUGCACAUCAAACGCUUGGUUAGAGCAGGGAGCCAGUAAUGCCAAGGUGGUGGGUUUGAUCCCUGUACAGGCCAUUCACUUAAAAGCUGGACUCGGGGAUCCCUGUGAGUUCCUUCCAACUUAGAAUAUUCUCUGUGUGUGACACAAGUUGUAAUAAAUGCAAUUAC